CCCACCUGACCUGCUCUGCCUCUGUCCUGGUCAGAGCGAUAGGUCCCCAGUCGUCCCUGCCUGCAAGUACCUUGGCUGGCAUUGCUGUUGGGAUUCUGGUUAUCAUCUCCCUGGCCACAGGGCUGGGCUGCUUCCUCUACUUCAGAAAUACCAGCAGGAAAACAACAGAAGAACCCAUCCAUGAGGCUGUAACACCCACCUCUGAGAAGGAGCACCCUGCCGCACCCAAUUCUUACUGGUCACAGCAUGUGUAUGCCAACGUGCCUGAACCUCAAGCAUGGGAUGGAGUCCAGAAGAAAGAGCUGGCUUCCACAACUCCCAGGAGCUAUUCUCACAGCGACAGAAAGCCAUCACCCAAAUUCUUGCAGCCUGCCUUGGCCCCCACUCCACCA